CCCAAAUGACUAAAAUGACAAAAAAGAAAUGAAAACCUCAAAAUUAAUGACAUGGUGUGCACAUUUAAAAUCUGUUGUCCCAAUUCCAAUAGUUGCUUUGAAAAACCUCAAUAAAUUACAACCAACAAUCACAUGGCCCAUUCUACACUUUCUAGAUAGUCUAAAUUCCAACUUUAAGAAGCACAAUUUAAUAUACUAACUCAAUGAUAAUAGAGGCGUAAGCACACAAAUUAAAUUAAACUAACUAACAUUCUCAUGCUCAGAAACAAAGCUUUAUUCUUAUUUACAACACAAAAAGAACAACGGAAAUAAUUUAUUAACCAAAUACAGAGUUAGAAAAUGGACCUCAAUAAAACAUCCAACAAAGCUAAGGACCAGCGACCGAAAAACCUUGGAUGGCGACGACCUCGAGCAAUGGAACUUCGACUCGGAAAAAGCUGCUAUUUUACGUGAAAAAGUGGGUUGUUUUAAGGUGCUUUAAAGGUGCGUUUUUGGGGUUGAGAACUGGACGCUUUUGCUGGUGGGUUUAAAGGUGCGUUUUUGGGGUUGAGAACUGGGCGCUUUUGCUGGUGUUUGGUGCUGAUGUUUUUGGUUAUUUUAAUGGAGAUUUAAGGGCUGUUUUUGGGUGGUUUAACUGAGGUUUCAUGGCUGUUUGGACGGUGUUUUAGGAGUGUUUUGGGGUUCUUUGAGCUGGAGUUUGGGGGUGGAUUUAAACUGUUUUUGAGUUGUUUGCAGGUAGUAAUUUAGGGGCUGUUUUGAGGGGAUUACGUAGCUAAAAAGCUGCCAGUUUUAAUGGAGAAAAUGGUGAUGUUUCGUGACUAUUUUGGUGGAGAUUUACAUUGCUUUUCAUGGAGUUUUUUUAGAGGAAAAAGAUGACUGAGUUAUGGCCUCUUCUUCUCUCUCGUUUUAUUUGCCUUCCUGAUUCGUUUCCC
rnacentral:lncRNA from 1 species